GCAAGAUGCAGCUUAAAGUUGGUAGUUAUACCCCGCAUGAUUAACUACAGAUUUAACAUUCAGGGGGCGGACUCUUCCCCCUGGGUGUAUGCCU
rnacentral:sRNA from 12 species